GAUGAACGCUGGCGGCGUGCCUAAUACAUGCAAGUCGAGCGAACGGACGAGAAGCUUGCUUCUCUGAUGUUAGCGGCGGACGGGUGAGUAACACGUGGAUAACCUACCUAUAAGACUGGGAUAACUUCGGGAAACCGGAGCUAAUACCGGAUAAUAUUUUGAACCGCAUGGUUCAAAAGUGAAAGACGGUCUUGCUGUCACUUAUAGAUGGAUCCGCGCUGCAUUAGCUAGUUGGUAAGGUAACGGCUUACCAAGGCAACGAUGCAUAGCCGACCUGAGAGGGUGAUCGGCCACACUGGAACUGAGACACGGUCCAGACUCCUACGGGAGGCAGCAGUAGGGAACCUUCCGCAAUGGGCGAAAGCCUGACGGAGCAACGCCGCGUGAGUGAUGAAGGUCUUCGGAUCGUANAACUCUGUUAUUAGGGAAGAACAUAUGUGUAAGUAACUGUGCACAUCUUGACGGUACCUAAUCAGAAAGCCACGGCUAACUACGUGCCAGCAGCCGCGGUAAUACGUAGGUGGCAAGCGUUAUCCGGAAUUAUUGGGCGUAAAGCGCGCGUAGGCGGUUUUUUAAGUCUGAUGUGAAAGCCCACGGCUCAACCGUGGAGGGUCAUUGGAAACUGGAAAACUUGAGUGCAGAAGAGGAAAGUGGAAUUCCAUGUGUAGCGGUGAAAUGCGCAGAGAUAUGGAGGAACACCAGUGGCGAAGGCGACUUUCUGGUCUGUAACUGACGCUGAUGUGCGAAAGCGUGGGGAUCAAACAGGAUUAGAUACCCUGGUAGUCCACGCCGUAAACGAUGAGUGCUAAGUGUUAGGGGGUUUCCGCCCCUUAGUGCUGCAGCUAACGCAUUAAGCACUCCGCCUGGGGAGUACGACCGCAAGGUUGAAACUCAAAGGAAUUGACGGGGACCCGCACAAGCGGUGGAGCAUGUGGUUUAAUUCGAAGCAACGCGAAGAACCUUACCAAAUCUUGACAUCCUUUGACAACUCUAGAGAUAGAGCCUUCCCCUUCGGGGGACAAAGUGACAGGUGGUGCAUGGUUGUCGUCAGCUCGUGUCGUGAGAUGUUGGGUUAAGUCCCGCAACGAGCGCAACCCUUAAGCUUAGUUGCCAUCAUUAAGUUGGGCACUCUAAGUUGACUGCCGGUGACAAACCGGAGGAAGGUGGGGAUGACGUCAAAUCAUCAUGCCCCUUAUGAUUUGGGCUACACACGUGCUACAAUGGACAAUACAAAGGGCAGCGAAACCGCGAGGUCAAGCAAAUCCCAUAAAGUUGUUCUCAGUUCGGAUUGUAGUCUGCAACUCGACUACAUGAAGCUGGAAUCGCUAGUAAUCGUAGAUCAGCAUGCUACGGUGAAUACGUUCCCGGGUCU
rnacentral:rRNA from 1 species